AGCAGCCGCGGUAAUUCCAGCUCCAAUAGCGUAUAUUAAAGUUGUUGCAGUUAAAAAGCUCGUAGUUGAAUUUCGGGAUCAGUUGGUCGGUCGUGCCUCGGUACGUACUGGUCAAAUUGAUUCCUACCUUCUGACGAACCACGAUGUCAUUAAUUUGGUGUCGCGGGAAAUCAGGACUGUUACUUUGAAAAAAUUAGAGUGUUUAAAGCAGGCUCGCGCUUGAAUACAUUAGCAUGGAAUAAUGAAAUAGGACGUUUGAUUCUAUUUUGUUGGUUUCUAGGAUCGACGUAAUGAUUAAUAGGGAUAGUUGGGGGCAUUAGUAUUCAAUUGUCAGAGGUGAAAUUCUUGGAUUUAUUGAAGACUAACUACUGCGAAAGCAUUUGCCAAGGAUGUUUUCAUUAAUCAAGAACGAAAGUUAGGGGAUCGAAGACGAUCAGAUACCGUCGUAGUCUUAACC
rnacentral:rRNA from 1 species